rnacentral:rRNA from 1 species
AGUGAACGCUGGCGGUAGGCCUAACACAUGCAAGUCGAACGGCAGCACAGUAAGAGCUUGCUCUUACGGGUGGCGAGUGGCGGACGGGUGAGGAAUACAUCGGAAUCUACUUUUUCGUGGGGGAUAACGUAGGGAAACUUACGCUAAUACCGCAUACGACCUACGGGUGAAAGCAGGGGAUCUUCGGACCUUGCGCGAUUGAAUGAGCCGAUGUCGGAUUAGCUAGUUGGCGGGGUAAAGGCCCACCAAGGCGACGAUACGUAGCUGGUCUGAGAGGAUGAUCAGCCACACUGGAACUGAGACACGGUCCAGACUCCUACGGGAGGCAGCAGUGGGGAAUAUUGGACAAUGGGCGCAAGCCUGAUCCAGCCAUACCGCGUGGGUGAAGAAGGCCUUCGGGUUGUAAAGCCCUUUUGUUGGGAAAGAAAAGCAGCAUGUUAAUACCCCGCUGUUCUGACGGUACCCAAAGAAUAAGCACCGGCUAACUUCGUG